AUACGGAGGGAGCGAGCGUUAAUCGGAAUUACUGGGCGUAAAGCGUGCGCAGGCGGUUUUGUAAGUCAGAUGUGAAAUCCCCGGGCUUAACCUGGGAACUGCGUUUGAAACUGCAAGGCUAGAGUGUGUCAGAGGGGGGUGGAAUUCCGCGUGUAGCAGUGAAAUGCGUAGAGAUGUGGAGGAACACCAAUGGCGAAGGCAGCCCCCUGGGUCAACACUGACGCUCAGGCACGAAAGCAUGGGGAGCAAACAGGAUUAGAAACCCCAGUAGUCC
rnacentral:rRNA from 1 species